GCUGGGUGUGGUGGCACACACCUAUAAUUCCAGUUUCUUGGGAAGCUGAGGCAGGAGGAUAAUGAGUUUGAGGCCAGCUUCAGCAAUUUAGUGAGAUCCUCAGCAUCUUAGUGGGACCCUGUCUCAA
rnacentral:sRNA from 1 species